rnacentral:lncRNA from 1 species
ACAGCGAUCAUUGGGCCCGUUGCUAGUGGUCGUUGCUGCGUUGGUGACAUCGGAAGGCCACGCUGUAAACAAGAGUGUAACGCGGUUACCAACUUAUAUCGAUGAAUACGUCGAGGAAUGGCCGGUAGACGACCAGAUACCAAACCAUGUGGACUGGACAUGGACUGCCAGUAUGGAUUCGGCUGCACCAAGGAGGGAUGCACACCGUUACCAGGAAUGGUAAUGUAGCGCACUGCGCUCAUCUUUACGUCAACACAGCGCGGAACAAAAGUAGUCACGGCAAGUGAAAACAGGAAGAAAUUAGGAGAGU